CUCGCAUUGUCCCGGCUCCUCCAACACGCACUCUCGCAGCCUCGCUGUAUUUGCAUAUUGCUAAGACUUUUUUCCCCCACAAAGACUUCCCGCCGAUUUGCAUAUUCUUAUAUUCAGUUCCCAAAGAAUGAUCAUGGCAGUUUAGUGCAAAAGGUGCCUCCAGGAAGCGGCUUCUCUGGAUUUAAAAUUUUUUUUUGCCAUUUCUCGAAAAUAUUUUUUGAUGUUCGAGGAACGAGUGGUUACAAAGGAUCCGAUUGGUCUGCGCGCUUAUAUAUUUUCUAAAAAGUCUGAUUUAAUUAAAAGAUGGUGUCCAAACUGACAUCUCUCCAACAGGAACUAUUGAGCGCCUUGUUGAGCUCCGGAGUAUCCAAAGAUGUACUGAUUCAGGCUUUGGAAGAUUUGGAACCCUCCCCGAGCUUUGAGGUGAAAUUGGAGAACCUGCCCGCGUCCCCCUUGAAGAUGAACGGCUCGAGUUCGGACACCAAGGUCGUCUUCCACUCCCUGACUAAUGGGCACGGCAAAGGCAAAUUAUCCGGGGACGAGGGCUCGGAAGACGGCGAGGAUUAUGACACACCUCCCAUCCUCAAGGAACUGGAGUCUCUGAACACGGAGGAGGCGGCGGAGCAGAGAGCCGAGGUGGACAGAAUGCUGAGGGAGGACCCGUGGCGAGCGGCGAAGAUGAUCAAGGGCUACAUGCAGCAGCACAACAUCCCCCAGCGGGAGGUGGUGGACGUGACGGGCCUAAAUCAGUCUCACCUCUCGCAGCAUCUGAACAAGGGCACCCCGAUGAAGAACCAGAAACGGGCCGCCCUCUACACCUGGUACAUCAGGAAGCAACAGGAGAUUCAGAGACAAUUCAACCAGACUAUCCAGAAUACUGGAAACAAUAUGACAGACAAAAGCAGGCCAGAUCAGCUGCUGUUUCUCUUUCCAGAGUUCAAUCAGCAAGACCAGGCCUCGGGGCAGGCUGAGGAGGCGGGUACUGAACCUGCCAACAAGAAGAUGCGCCGCAACAGGUUUAAAUGGGGACCAGCUUCCCAGCAAAUAUUAUACCAAGCUUAUGAAAGACAGAAGAAUCCCAGCAAGGAGGAACGGGAGGCACUAGUGGAGGAAUGUAACAGAGCCGAAUGCAUACAACGUGGCGUGUCUCCUUCUAAAGCACAUGGACUAGGAUCGAAUCUGGUUACAGAAGUCAGAGUGUAUAACUGGUUUGCCAACCGAAGGAAGGAAGAAGCUUUCCGCCAGAAACUAGCCAUGGACGCGUACAGUGUUCAGUCGCACAACAUGAACCCACUGCUGUCCCAUAGCUCUCCGCACCAUCCACCAAACUCCUCUCCCUCGAGUAAGCAUGGCCACUCGCUUCCCGGUGUCUUCCUUCAUGAAGGAAGUCCAGGUGCUCUUGGCUAUGAACAUCUCCACAACCAUCAGUGCCCCAACAUGGCCAGCUGGCAGGAGGUGCUACUCAGUCAGGGAGUACGAUAUGGCCAGCAAGGUACCAAUGAAGUCCCCUCUUCCUCGACGAUCAGUCACCACGGUAACAGUGCCAUGGUAACAAGCCAAACAGUUCUACAGCAAGUCUCGCCAGCAAACCUGGACCCCGGCCACAGUCUGCUGUCACCUGACGGCAAGAUGAUCACUGCCGCUGGUGGACCCCUGCCUCCGGUCAGCACGCUGACAAACAUCCACAGCCUGUCACAGCCGCCACAUCACAACCACCAGCAAACGCAGAACCUCAUCAUCAACCCGCUGUCUGGAGUCAUGGCGAUAGCACAAAGUAUAAGCACGUCGCAAGGACAGAGCGUGCCUGUCAUUAACAGCGUGGCAGCGGGCAGUCUGGCGGCUCUGCAGCCUGUACAGUUCUCACAGCAGCUCCACAGUCCGCACCAGCAGCCAAUCAUGCAGCAGUCUCAGAGUCACAUGUCGCAGCAGCCCUUCAUGGCCACGGUGACCCAGCUGCAGAACUCUCACAUGUACACACAUAAACCAGAUCCUCCCCAGUAUUCCCACACUGCACGCUUCCCGUCAGCGAUGGUCGUCGCGGAUACAGGAAGCAUCAGUGCGCUAGCAAGCAUGUCCUCCAGCAAGCAGUGUGAAUUAGCCCUUCCGGCCCUUUGAGCUGUACCGCACAGCAAUCUCCAAAUUUAAUGCCAGCCUAAUCAUGGGACAUUUUACAAUGACCAAUUAACCUACCAACCUUUGGACUGUGGGAGGAAGCCUACACUGUCACGGGGAGAACAUACAAACUCUAACAGACGGCAGCGGGAAUUGAACGCUCGUACUAUCAAAAGUCGUUCCAACCAUCCAACGGUGCAAUCCCGUGAGUGUCCUCUACAAGCCUGGUGAUGCUCCACACCCUUCCAGUCUGCUGAUCAGAGAAAACAACGUUCAAAAAUAAACACAAAACACUUUUCAAAACAGAUCUCUGGUAUCUACGGAAACCAGGGAAAACUCACUGAGCCAACCAGCAGAUGGUAUGAUUUCAUGGCACACACCUAGCCUGGCCUCCUCUGUGACUAAUUCCUUAGCACACUGACUGAGAACAAGGUGACACAAACUAUAGCUUGAAAUCCCUGCUAGGACAAGAUAUUCCCACUGACAGAAAACAUCCUGUUUCAGAUCACACACUGAUUUGCACAGGUCUGAUGUAAGAACAAAACAAAUGAAAGAGUUUUAGAGAAUUAGAUUUCUCUUUUCUUCAAACUCAAAAAAAAAUCUUUGCAGAGAAAUAACCUUUUAUCUGUUACUGGAAGUUGGUAAGACACCUGUACAGUUCAUUCAAGCUGUGACCAUUAAAUAGAUUGCAGUAAAAUGCUAAAGGCGGAAGCCUUAGGAAGUGAGCACUGGAAUCUUAAUUGUUCUGAUUGAAUGGAGUUUCCAAGAUUGCUGAAAUCUGUUUUGAGGAAAACUGAUCAACUCAAUCAUCUUCAAAUGUGUGAACUGCAUCAUCCCUUCUGAAGAAAUAAAACGGACAUUCCUGGGAGUACAGUUCAAAACAAUACAAUACCCAUGUCUCAUUAUGGUGGAAGUGCAUCGUCAGAUGAGUGUUGAUCUUCACCUUUGAAAAUGACACACCUUUACAGAGAUGGAAUGCUGUCGUGGAUUUGCAAUGAAAGCAAUCAGCAAUUGCAUCUUCAUCCAGACGGCUUGAUUAUUCCCAAUUUCAUUCAGUUAUAAAGGGCUACUGUUUCUGAUUGUAAAACCUAUGGAUUUUGGAUGGGAAGAUGGAAGUUAUUCAGGAUGAUGCUGGAAAGCAGUGAUUUCUUUACCGAGAAGCCACUCCUUGCCUGUGUGAUUUGUAAGGUCCAGCUAUUUCCUCCAGUGACUUUAAAUUCAUUAUGGCUGGUAAAUUUGGUAAAGAACGCAAUUUGUGUUGCUCCUAUUUACAGUGUUGAUCUUAAAUAUUACAUUCCCAUAACGAUGUUCCGUUGUUGCUUAUAUUCUCUUAUUUUCAUCCCCAACAUUAUCAACAUAAAGUCCAACCCAGAACCUGUUGCAGCAGGGCAGCUCUUUUACCUGACUGUACUCCCAUUAAAUGCUUUAUCAGGUGACAUUGUCAGGAAUUAGUUUGACUGUUCCUUUCAGAACUGAUUCAAGAUUCAUUCAGCUAUCAUUUUUCAACAAUAACAUAGCAGGAGUUAAAUAUAAUUGCCCAUCUGAAAAUUAGAUCAUUUUUUAACAGCUGUAGAAUGACUUGUCAGGUGAAUCCAGUGCUUGGAUCCAGAUGUUGUAAUACAGGUUGUGACAGAAGAUGGUGGUACAGAAGUUGGUGCUUAACUGAAAUUGGGGUUCAUUGCAAUCUAUGAAAUAACUAGUAGAGUUAAAUUUGCAACUUAUUGUCACUUGGGCAUUGUUUCAAGAUAUGGCUCAUUGACCUUCAGUGGAAGUGGAGUAUAAUAUACAAAUUGUUACUUCUUUGGUGCCACUGAAUGGAAGACUAAAUUCCUUUGUUCCCACUUCCUACAGCCCUAUUCAACUUGUACACUGCACACAGAGGAUUGAUUAGAAUUUCCCAUAUAUAAUUUUCUCACAAUAUACAAGUGAGUCUUAACCACUAAGGAAUCUAGAACACACAGAAAAUGCUGGAGGAACUCAGCAGACCAGGCAGCAUCUAUAGAAAACACAAAGUACACUGCGGAUGCUGUGGUCAAAUCAACACUUACAAACAAGCUGGAUGAACUCAGCAGGUCGGGCAGCAUCCGUUGAAACGAGCAGUCAACGUUUUGGGCUGAGACCCUUUGUCAGGACCUGCUGUGUUCCUCCAGUAUUUUGUGUGUGUUUCUCCAUAUAUACAAAUUGGUUCAGAUUACUUGUUUAAUGGUAUUAGAGGUCAAGAGAUACACAUACCUAAUCAGAAAGUGUCAGUCCUGAAGCAAUUUAUCACUCAGGUACACUGUUCAAAGGGUAAAUACUGAGAGGUGUUUCCAGUUUGUUAUAAUACUUAGUCCUUAAGGAAGCAAAAGACAAGGCACGUAAUGAUUUGACUGAUUUGAUCAUUGCCAAUUAUAAUGUGUUAAUUAGUUUCUCCUUGGAUAAUGGAUAGUAAGAAGACCAGAAUAUUUCACAACCACACCCCUCUCCCCACACACUUGACAAUGGAAGGGCACAAAUUGGUGAGACUCCUGGAGGAGAUAUGGGAUAAAAAAUUGCCUUUAAAAAAACCUCCUUAACUGAUUGAGAAGCUCAAUCUCUCAAUCUGCUUCUUGCCAUCAAUACUCAUUAAUUUCAUCAAUAAACUAUUGAGUGAUACCAUUUCCACAGCGAUUAAUAUUGCACAGUAAGAGCUGUAACAGCUUAGGACAAUGCUGAGUGAAACAUUUCUUUAAACAUCAAACCGAUUUUAAGUGCCUUGAUGAGGACAAAUGUAAAACUUCAUGCAAGUAAAAACAUAACCCUUUUAUCACUGUGAAAUUGACUGGAGCACAUCCUCCAAUCUCGGUUUGGCUCAUGAUGACUAUGAAAGGCAACAGCUGACAGUCUGAAUGAUAAAAUGAAGGGGGAGUUCUUGGCAGAGUCCAGCAACAAGCCAGUGUAACAAGAACAGAGAUGUGAGGCAGUAGUGUCAAGUUCAAGGACGUGGAGCUCCAAGACAAUAAAAACCUCUCAAUGGAACAUUCUUUUACUUAAUCUGCAGGCACUGCAACAUCUGUCUUUGCCUACCAGCACUAUCCCUACACAAGAUGAUUGGCCACUGAUUGUCCUCACCUCUACACAUUUGGUUCCCUUGAAGUCAAUGGGCAGAAGUGAGUAUAACUGGAGGUUGAUGAUGUCACCAUAUUUGGUAUUGACAACUGGAGGCAAAUUUCUCCCCAUUUUUAACAUGAGGAUAAGAAAAGUAACCUUGAAACUUACUCUGUCUUUAGUAAGGUCAUGGCUGAUCUGAUAUUGACUGAAAUUCCAUUUUCCUGUGUGUUCCUUUCAACACAUUAUUCAAAUAUCACUCAGUCUCUACCUUGUAUAUAUUCAGUGACUCCUCUACAGCUCUUUGACUCAAGACUUGAAAAGACUUAAUCCACCAAGAGAUGAAUUUCCUCUUCAUCUCCAUUGAAGGGCCAAGAUCAGGAGUUCCCAAUCCUUUUUAUGCCAUGUGUCACGUACCCUGUGACUGGGCUACCGAACCAGCAGAAAUGGAAUACAUGUUGGAGUCUGGUAUUACUUUAACUAAUAGUGUUUAUUAGUAAACUAAGUAAUACAGUACUAUAAAAUGCAAAUAUAUGAAACAGGUUAGCAAUGAUAUAUACAGAAGUGUGGAAAUAGGAAUCAAAACCAAGCUCUGUCAAAGUCUAGGGGUAAAUGGAUAGUCUUACGAUGGUGAAGAGUUCAGUUCAGUUUAGGUUGAGGUAGUUGCUGGUGUACCAUUGGGGAGAAAGAGAGCGAGAGGUGAUGCAGUUGCCAUCGAACCUUCCGUUAUCCUGUUGCGGUCACCGACUGUGACCAUACCAGGCACGACCAUUCUUCAGUGGUAGGCCUGUCACCCAGGCAAGGGUGGACACACAACAAGCCCCCACCGGUCGCACCUUCACACACUGUGAGCCACUGAUUGAUUCCCCCAAAUCGAUCCUCCAAACCCCCACUUUUAUGUGGGUGCACAACGCUCUUUCAGUGUCCCGUGGUGUGUCUGUCUGUGUCUUCGCAGACCUGCUUUUCAUCAUCACUUGCUGGACACCGGCUGUCCAUCAGGCCAGCCCCACCUUGCUGUCUCUGCAAGAAUCUUACAAGCAGGCAAAGAAUGUGUCCUUGGAGCAAUCAGCUAAGGAGCCAUAAUAUUAAAUCAUCUCUCUCUCAUCUGCAACAUAGUUCACGGGGGGGGGGGGGGGGGGGGGUCACCUCUGGACUCCAUCUUAGCUUGGUUUGUUCAUCGCACAUGGACCACUACCAUUAACUGAGGGGUUUGUGGACUCCAGGCUGGGAACCCCUGGGUUAGACAGAGUUGGCAUGGAGAGGGUGUUUCCAAUAAUGGGACCAAAGGACACAGCCUCAGACUUGAAGGCUGGGGAAGAAUUUCUUUAGCCAGCAGGUGGCAAAUCAAUGGAAUUCAUUGCCACUGACAACUUUAGAGCCCAAGUCAUUGGGUAUAUCUGAAGUGGAGGUCGAUAGGUUCUUAAUUAAUAAGGGAUUAAAGUUUAUGGGGAGAAGGCAGGAAAAUGGGGUUGAGAGGGAUAAUAAAUUGAAUGGUGAGGCAGAUUAAUGGCCUGAAUAGCCUAAUCCUACUCCCAUGCCUUAAUGGCCUUAUGGUUUGAAACUACACUGCUGCUUCUGUAAUCCUUCAUAAGAGAAAUAUCCUUUCAGCACCCACUCCAUGAAGACCCCCUCAAAAUAUUAUGAGUUUCAAUGGAUCACCUCUCCUUCAAUGAUGAUCCAGGCCAGUAUGACAUCGUUUGCUCCCUAAAUUUAUGUGUCAAGGUGAUAAAUGACUAUUACUCCAUCUUACUGCACCCCUUGCCUUCCACCCUCCAGCCGGCCUGUCCAUCUGAUACCAUUUACAUUCCGUUUGACUGUUAAGAAACAAGCUUACUCCACUGUCAAGGUGAAAAACUACGUCCGAACACUGUCCAAGCUGAAGUCUGUGGGCAGUUGUACUAAGGAGCAGUAUUAGACAGAGGAAUGAUGAUAAAUAAACUUAUUAAUGACUUAUAGGUUAUAACACCGAACUAUAGUGUAUCUGUAGCCCACUUUGACUUCCAGCUGCAUUAGCUUGACUGUAAAUUUCUCACUUUGAAUGAUAGGUUCCUGGUUCCGAGGGACACCAAUCACGUGCAGGUAUGAGGCAAUUAUGUGGCACAACUGACCAUUAAUAUUGAACAGGUGACUACAGGGAGCAAGCUUCUAAUUUCCCAAUGUCUCCAGUUAUCAGAUUAUCUUCUAGUUACUGGGGUUUAUAACCAGGUCUUUAGUGCUCCAUUGUAUGUGACUAACAAAGUAUUUAGUUGAUUUUUUUUUGUUUCAUUAGCCACCAGUGAGUAGUCUCUCAAACCAGUAAGUAGCACCAUCUGAAUCCAGGUCUGCAGUCACUAGAUCUAUUGGGUUAUGGAGGUUGAAUAAAUCAGGUUUGAUUGUAACUGCAAAAAUAAGAUUACACACGUUUUAGCCAAUGUUUCGUGAUGAUCCAUCACACGCAAUUUCCAAAACGAUUAGUGGUGUUGCAUACCUCGAAAUUUAUGGAUGUACUAGAUGGCUGUCAUCUAAAUAAUAUGACUGGAAAGAUUAGCUUCUGCAGAUCUGAUCUGAAGAGAUGCAAUUUCCCAGUUUUCCAGUAUCUAGUUAGGUUAGAUAUGACUAGUUAACCAAAUCUGUUACCCAGAUGGUGUAAUGUCAUUUACUGAAAGAGAUCAUUAAGACAUAGGAGUGGACCCAGGCCAUUCAGCCGAUUGGAUCUGGCUUGCCAUUCCAUCAUGUCUCACAUUUUAUCCCUCUCAACCCGAUUCUCCUGCUUUCUCCCCGUAACCAUUGGCACCCUUCCUGAUCAAGCACUGCGCUUCAAAUAUACCCAAUGACUUGGCCUCCACUGUAGACUCUGGACAGAGUCAUCACCAUUCACCCAUGAAUGAGCUAAAAUUGUGUUGCGCCCAUCGGCUGCUGUGGACAUGUAGUUAGUUGGAUCCUUUUCCAGAAUGUUUAAUUGACCCAUGGGACAGGGGAAUGGAGGGUCAAGAAGAUUUGAGACUAGAAGUAGAACAGGAAAUUGACAGGCAUUUGAAGGGGCAUGCAGACAGGCACAGAGAAGAACAACUUACAUUUAUAUCAAUUUUCAUGUCCCUUUUGGAAUAUUGUGAAGUACUUCCAUCCGGUUAAAUAUCUCUGCAGUAAUUUUGAAAUCUAGACACUAUUAUCAUUUGGAAAUAUGGUAGUCAAUGGUACAUGGCAAGCUCUAGAAUCAGCAGAGAGUUAAUGAAGGCUAAAGAAAUUCCUUCUCAUCUCUGUUCUAAAUGGAUGCCUAUAUUUUCUGAGGCUGUGCGCUCUUGUCCUAGACUCGCCCACUAUAGGAAACAUCCUCUCCACAUCUACUUUGUCUAGGCCUUUCAAUGUUCAAUAGGUUUCAAUGAGAUACUCCCCUGCCCCUUCCAUGCCAGCAAGUAGAUCAAAUGCUCCCCAUAAAUUAACCCUUUCAUUCCUGGAUUCAUUCUCAUCAUCCUCCUCCGGACCCUCUCCAAUCCCAGCACAGGUGUUCUAAGAUAAGGGGCCCAUUGAGAUAAAGAGUGCAAAAUUAAUUCUUCUCACUAAUAUCAUCUUCAUUCCUGUACCCUCCACAUUCCAUGAACAAUCUGUACAGCACUUCAAAGUGUUUUAAACAUUUUAUAAGCAUGCACAUUGCAUUCAUCUUCCCCUUGAAAAAUAACACUGAUCCUUUGGUGAUUGCUUAAGUUACUUUGCUACACUGUAUGAAACUUGAAAUUAACAAUUCAAUUGAUAUCAUCAUCUUGAUCGAGAAGGAAGGUAUAAACAGCACUUGCACUUCUUACUGUUACCGAGAGGAAGUUCUUUUGUUCAUCCAAUACUUUAGUGCCCAGAAUGUGUUCCCAUUGACCAUCCAUUACGCCCAUUGGUGUGUCUGGUUAUGCUGCAGUUCAAGUCAAAUGUUGUUAGGAGGAUCCUGCAUUUUUAGAGCCUCUUUCACAACCAUGGGACAUUCCAAAAUAUUUCUCAGCCAGUGAAGUACUUUGGGGUGCAGUCGCUGUUUU